AUUGAACACUGGCGGCAGGCCUAACACAUGCAAGUCGAACGGUAACAGAAAGCAGCUUGCUGCUUUGCUGACGAGUGGCGGACGGGUGAGUAAUGUCUGGGAAACUGCCUGAUGGAGGGGAAUAACUACUGGAAACGGUAGCUAAUACCGCAUAACGUCGCAAGACCAAAGAGGGGGACCUUCGGGCCUCUUGCCAUCGGAUGUGCCCAGAUGGGAUUAGCUAGUAGGUGGGGUAACGGCUCACCUAGGCGACGAUCCCUAGCUGGUCUGAGAGGAUGACCAGCCACACUGGAACUGAGACACGGUCCAGACUCCUACGGGAGGCAGCAGUGGGGAAUAUUGCACAAUGGGCGCAAGACUGAUGCAGCCAUGCCGAGUGUAUGAAGAAGGCCUUCGGGUUGUAAAGUACUUUCAGCGGGGAGGAAGGGAGUAAAGUUAAUACCUUUGCUCAUUGACGUUACCCGCAGAAGAAGCACCGGCUAACUCCGUG
rnacentral:rRNA from 1 species